rnacentral:rRNA from 1 species
UACGUAGGGGGCAAGCGUUGUCCGGAUUUAUUGGGCGUAAAGAGCGUGUAGGCGGCCAGGUAGGUCUGCUGUGAAAACUCGAGGCUUAACCUCGAGCUGUCGGCGGAAACCAUCUGGCUAGAGGGUGGUAGAGGCGAGUGGAAUUCCCGGUGUAGCGGUGAAAUGCGCAGAUAUCGGGAAGAACACCUAUGGCGAAGGCAGCUCUCUGGGACGGUACUGACGCUGAGACGCGAAAGCGUGGGGAGCGAACAGG